rnacentral:rRNA from 1 species
AUACGGAGGGUGCAAGCGUUGUUCGGAUUUACUGGGCGUAAAGCGCACGUAGGCGGACUGUCAAGUCGGGUGUGAAAACCAGUGGCUUAACCACUGGCCUGCACUCGAAACUGGUAGUCUUGAGUACCGGAGAGGAUGGCGGAAUUCCUGGUGUAGCAGUGAAAUGCGUAGAUAUCAGGAAGAACACCGGCGGCGAAGGCGGCCAUCUGGACGGAUACUGACGCUCAGGUGCGAAGGCUAGGGGAGCGAACAGGAUUAGAAACCCCGGUAGUCC